rnacentral:rRNA from 1 species
UACGGAGGGUGCGAGCGUUGUCCGGAAUCACUGGGCGUAAAGGGCGCGUAGGUGGCCGAGCAAGGUCGCGGUGGAAAGCCCGGGGCCUCAACCCCGGGUCGGCCGUGGCAACUACUGGGCUGGAGCACUGUAGGGGCAGAUGGAAUUCCGGGUGUAGCGGUGGAAUGCGUAGAGAUCCGGAAGAACACCGGUGGCGAAGGCGGUCUGCUGGGCAGUUGCUGACACUGAGGCGCGACAGCGUGGGGAGCAAACAGGG